ACAAAUAUCAACAAUAAUUCAACAUAAUUAAAUCACAUACACCACUAAAAUAUAUCAAUCACCAAUAUCAACAUAAUCAUCUAAUACAUAUGCAAACAAUGGAUGCAAUGCAAUAUACUCAACACCAUAACUCUACAAUGCAUGUGGUACCAUUAUGGACAACACAAGUCCAUCUCGCUUCUGAAUCCCCACCAUAGGACCAAAGCACACC
rnacentral:lncRNA from 1 species